rnacentral:rRNA from 1 species
AUGCGCCGACGUGACCCACAUGAUGGUCGCCAGGGCCUGCGCCAGGUUCUCAUGGCUGUCCAGCUCGGGCCACCACGGCUCGUCCUGCUUGUCGGCGUGGCCUUUGGUGCGCACCUCGGUCCACCAAGCCUGGAGCUCCUCGUCAUCGACGAUGUCCGCGGUGCACGGGUAGUAGUGCUCCACGUAGGUCAACGCCCACUCCUUGAUGGCGUCCCAGAUGAGCAGGCCGUCGUUGGCGUAGGGGUAGUCCUCUAUGGCCAGCUCCAGCUCGCCAUUCUCCUUCCUGACCGCCAUGCCCCUCCGGAUGAGGUCUUCCGGCAGGGCCUCCAUGUCGAACCGCCACUGCUGGUCGUAAGCCACGGAGCUGAGCUCAAUGGAGUACUCCCCGGGCGCGAAGGAGCCCUCGAUGAUCCCGUCGGCGUUGAUGAGCAUCGCGCGCGCCUGCGCGUUGAUCUCCAUGGUGAAGCGGAAGUGCGGGUGCAGCAGGCGGUAGACGGGGUGCAUCUGGCUGAGCUGCCGGUUGGCGGCGAUGAUGUAGGGCUCGGUGCAGGCGUGCGUCCUCAGCCAGUGGCUGACGAGCUGGUGGACGCCGGCGUCGUGAGCCAGGACAUGGGCCUUGGCGAGCUGCCACAGCCAGGACCCCGUGACGCUGCCGUCGCAUCCAGGCGUGAAGACCUGGCGCCACUGCGGCUUGCGCUUGGACUUGGGCCUGGUGAGCUCGAUGGCGAUGGGCCGGAGCGUGCCGUCGGCGGUGAGGAAGAAGAGCGCGCGCGAGCCGUACAAGGUGGUGCCCUCGAGCUUGCGGACCUUGAGGACGUAUGGCAGCAACAAGUCAUGGUAGUCCAGCAUGAAGAGCUUCUUGUUAGCCACGGCCUCCUCAACUGUCAUGACACGUCUGAUCUGCUCUUCAACCAGCUCUUCAGUGAUGAGGGAGUCUGCCGGGCCGUAGGUUGCCUCGUCCAACUUGCUCUUGAUAGGAAACUCCUGGAUGCCGUGACUAGUUGGAUGCUCAAUGGGUUCAUCCCUGCGAUGGUUUGUCGCGCAAACUCCUCGUCUCUGAACCAAGCAAACUUGUCCCCUGCAUUUCCAACAUGCAAGUUAUCGAUCCAUUAA